rnacentral:lncRNA from 1 species
AACCAUGAUGAUGAUUUAGAUUCUUUUGCUGAAUCGUUGUUAGCGUAAAUGUACCAAUUAAGUUAGCUAAUUAAUGAUGGUAAAAAUUAUUAAUGUUGGGGUAAAUAAAAUAAGUUCUGCUGGCUCCGGCAUCAGCAUGUGAAUGAAUAAAGGUCUCAAUCUUUUACCAACAAUUUAAGAAAUAAACUAUAGUACCAAACUGCCAAUGGAAAAUGUUUGUACUUUGAAGCUAAGCUUCUCACGCACUUACCUUCCAGCUCAUUGAUCAGUAGAUAGACGACACCGCCAUCUACACAAUAUAUUUGGACCAGUAAAAAUGUGGCAUGUAUUAAAUAAGUUGACUUUUUUUUUUUUUUUUUUUUGAAAAAAAUUAAAAUAAUAGGAAAUAUUUUCGAGAAAAUAAGAUUUUAAAAAAAAAAAAACCCUCGUCGACAUCACGGCGGACACGGACGGGACUCGCAUUGAGCUUCCAAUACGCCAAGGGUUACAAAUCUCGUUGCCUAUCUCCCUCUCAUGGAACCCAUUUUUCAAUACUUAUUGAAUCCCUCAUUCACCAGCAACUUCCAUCAAACCCUCAACCACAAGGAGAAAUCGCAUCACCUCUGCGACCCUCUGGAAACCCAGAUCUGAUCCCACUUUGACAAAAAACACCGACCUCGAACAAUCCCAGAUCUAACAGAGCGUGGAUUGAAGGAGAGCCAGAGUUUUGGGUUUGGUUUCUGGGUUUCCUGGCUUCUUUCAUUCAAUGGUUUUUGGGUUCAAUUGCUUUGAUUGCUAGGGAGAGAUGUUAUGUGUUGAAGUCAUGAGAAUCUCUGUUUUUGGGUUCAGUUGCUGAUUUCUGGGUUCAGUUGUUUCUGGGAUCUCUGUUUUGUGGGAGGGGUUGGACACAGUGUCGUACCAUGGGUUGAAGUCAUAAGGAUCUCUGUUUUUCUUAUAUGAUGUUGAAGCAUCUAAUUUAUUACAGCAUCUAUUUUUCUUCCUGUUUUUUAAUCUCGGUCGAUGAUGAAAUGAUGAUGAUGAAGAUCAUUUUAAUUUAAUUAGGGCAAGUUUCAGAUUGGGUUUCUGGGUUUCUAAAAAGAAACAAAAGAUGAAGUUGAGGAUGAUGGUGAUGAUUGAAUGAUGGUGAUUAAUUUGGAUUUUUUUAAAUAAAAAAUAAAUAAAAAUUCCACCUAAGCUCAUUAAAUGACGUGGCAAUGCCACAUGGGCUUCCCGGAGCUCCGGCGUUGACCUAACCGGCCGGAAGGACCAAAGCCAACUAUUUUGCAAAAAAUUGGGGACCAAUCCCCACCUUUGCUCCGGCGAGGGACUAAAGCCAUAUUUAUGCCAAAGGUUAGGGACCAAAAACUGGAUUAAGCCAAUGAAUAAAGGUCUCAAUCUUUUACCAACAUUUUAGGAAAUAAACUAUAGUACCAAACUACCAAUGGAUCGGAAAAGGUUUGUACUUUGAAGCUUAGCUUCUCACGCACUUACCUUCCAGCUCAUUGAUCAGUAGAUAUACGAC